GUGAUUUUCCCACUUUAAAUCAGUUUACCAGCGCGGCCUUACCCGUUUGGGUGUUGCCGGAUCGGAGCAAAGAGCAUGCGUGAGGUCCCAGGGCUGCUCAGCUUCUAUCCAUUUAAUUUAUGGAAGCUUUCGCGAUCUGAUUUGCCUGCACUUUUUGCGACGUAUGACCUACGACAUUCGUAGGUGCAUACAUUACCGAUAUUGUCUUCGCUCCAGCACCAUACUUUACUUCAUCGGCUUUGACCGGCAGGUAGCCCUUUCCGGUGGCCAAGAAUACCUCUUGCGUGCCGCGUGCCCGCUCCCAUUGCCUAUCAGGGACUUAACCUUUGGGUUUGAACACUGCCAAAGCUCUCUUCUCCGUCUUUCCAUUCCGCUUGCCGUAGGUACCUCAUCAGCGGGUGAUUCCGCCGUAGAUAGUCCUCUCGGAAGGUGCAAGGGAUGUGCGUCUGGCUGGAAUGCUGCGGGCCAUAGCUAUACUGUAUCGCUAAGUCUUCAAUGUGGCGUCCAGUCCGCUGCAGGGACAUAAUGUCAGCAGCCCCCUCAUUCAUAUGCGCCGAAUCAAACGCUGGGCUUCAGCUUCGACACACAAGUCUUAUGCACCCUACGCUACGCUGCCGCAAGCUGAGUCCUAUCAGAUUUGUUCACGCCAGACGGAAUCCUAUUUAAGCAUUACCGAGGCGUAUUCGAGGCAGACCGAGUGCUACCCCAGCAAGACAGAAUAGUUUCCCAGAAGGACAGAAGCGCAUCCCUUGCAAUCGCCAUCGACAACUAUCUGAAGGACUUUGGCUAUGGCAAACAAGGGAGUGGCUACGCGGACUACUAGACUCUGGAUAGAUCUCGUUGUUGUUAGGUUUAAGGAUAUACAAGUCUAAAUAU